CUCUUCGGGGAUGAUUAAACCGGCGCACGGGUGAGUAACACGUGAGUGACCUGCCUUUUAGACUGGAACAACUUACCGAAAGGUGAGCUAAUGCCGGAUGAGUUAUAUAAGUGCAUGUUUAUAUAGGAAAAGUUGGGGAGACCUGACGCUGAAAGAUGGACUCGCGUCCCAUUAGCUAGUUGGUAGGGUAAUGGCCUAUCAAGGCGACGAUGGGUAGCCGGCCUGAGAGGGUGGCCGGCCACACUGGGACUGAGACACGGCCCAGACUCCUACGGGAGGCAGCAGUGGGGAAUUUUGCGCAAUGCUCGUAAGAGUGACGCAGCGACGCCGCGUGAAUGACGAAGGCCUUCGGGUCGUAAAGUUCUUUCGACAGGGAGGAAAAUGCCUAUAAGUAACUGUGUAUGUAUUGACGGUACCUGUAUAAGCAGCCCCGGCUAACUCCGUGCCAGCAGCCGCGGUAGUACGGAGGGGGCGAGCGUUGUUCGGAGUGACUGGGCGUAAAGAGCACGUAGGCGGUGUUGUAAGUCAUUAGUCAAAGACUAGAGCUCAACUUUAGUAAGGCUAGUGAUACUAUAAUACUAGAGUAUCAGAGAGGAUUGCAGAAUUCCUGGUGUAGCGGUGAAAUGCGUAGAUAUCAGGAGGAAUACCGUUAGCGAAGGCGGCAAUCUGGCUGGAAACUGACGCUGAGGUGCGAAAGCGUGGGUAGCAAACAGGAUUAGAUACCCUGGUAGUCCACGCUGUAAACGAUG
rnacentral:rRNA from 1 species